UACGUAGGGUGCAAGCGUUAUCCGGAAUUAUUGGGCGUAAAGGAGCUCUGUAGGCGGUUUGUCGCGUCUGCUGUGAAAACUGGAGGCUCAACCUCCAGCCUGCAGUGGGUACGGGCAAACUAGAGUGCGGUAGGGGAGAUUGGAAUUCCUGGUGUAGCGGUGGAAUGCGCAGAUAUCAGGAGGAACACCGAUGGCGAAGGCAGAUCUCUGGGCCGUAACUGACGCUGAGGAGCGAAAGCAUGGGGAGCGAACAGG
rnacentral:rRNA from 1 species